UCUCCUCCCGGCUCCACCACGGAAUAUUCAGCUGACCCUCCGAGUUCCUCCUCUCACCCCUGCCACAGCACUAAAGGAGAGCAGAGAACUGGCUCAUCCCCACAAACCUCCUCAUCGAGACCUUUCUGUUGCUGCUGCAGGGUCCCCGCACUGCAUAUAUUCAGUGAUGCUGUGCCCAGUGUCCUGGAGCCAUCGAACCACCUGAAGAGGACAUUCAUAGCCCAGCUCACAAAUAACCCAAGGAAGCUCAGGGAAUCCGACGAAAAUGGGUGUGGUGGCUCUGACCAGCAAUCCCAGCUGUCUGAGGCAGGAGGAUUGUAAGUUCAAGACCUGGCUGGGCACCACCAGACUGACUUCAAGGCUAGCUUGGGCAACCAGGAGUGACUGACUUAUUGGGAAGUCUAUCCAGCCAAACAGCACCGGCCAGGGCAGAGUUGCAGCCCCAUAGGAACCUCUGAAGCUCGAGUGGCCUGGCUGCCAAAAAAGCCAACAGGAUCAGAUGGCAAAGAAAGAAGUUUAGACGACAUCUCCAGACUCCAAAGAAUUCUCGUGAGACAGGAGAAUGCCCAAGGAAUCCUGGAGAGUCAGUUCUGAGGACCAGAAGUUCACAAGCAGUCCCAGCAAGCUAAGGUGAAGGUGUGUCAGCCUACUUCGUUCUGGAACUUCCAGAAGGACAGAAUGUCUCCUCCCCUUCUCAGCAUCUAGUGGCUGCCUGCAUGCCUUGGCACACAGCCCCCUCCUCCGUGUUCAAAGAACUCUAGUGUUGUUUCUUCUGCUUGUAUCACCUUCUCUGUGUCAAAGCUCCAGCCACCUUCCCCUCCCAGGAAGCCUAUGAAGAUAUCGAUUGGUUUUUCCUGGCCACGAGGAGAGAACCUCGCAAAUCUCAAGAUCCUUUACCUGGCCACAUGGUCGAUGCUGCCACAGAAGGGAAGAAACACAGGGGCUGAGAUGUGGGGGAGGAUCAGGCAGUCAGGACUGUCAUUCUGCCCCACACAGGCAGCCCCGUGCUCUCUCCAGCCUGUCCUCCACCGGGCCAGGACUUGGUGCCCUAGGGGUGCUUGAUUCACUUGAUGGGUGAACACAGUGAAUGAACAGAGAAAGGAUGCAGUGUUGGAGCCGCCAUUAGAGGCACCAGGGUCUGCAACGGGCCAGCUGAGAGGUCAGCAGUGAAAACUGAGGCUCCUGAGACUCCUUCCCCUCCACUCACCAUGACAGAGAAUAUUCUCUGUAAUAAAUAAGAGAUCAAACCCAGCAAGUCAGUGCAGCGCCUGAGUCAGGCAGCAGGAGCUAAAAAGGGGGAGCCUCCUCCUGGGGCUGGGACUGAGCCUGGAGGCUAAACAUCCCCAGACACUCAACCUCCCACACCUUGUCCCAGCAGUGUGCUCUGUUUCCCAGUGAGCAGUCUCCCAGUCCUGCUGGUCAGAGAACCCCAGGUGCUACUCUGGGGAGUUAGCAGAAACCUGGUCUCUGCCCCCAAGGGGAUACCAGGCCACACACUGGGCACCGAAAUAUCCUCUAUCAUGCGUUCCUUUCCCCAUAGGGCUGUCACGCGAGCUCUGCUGGCCACAGGCUUGUGUGUUCCCAGGCUUCCACUGCCACCAUCCCCCUCUGAUUACUUCUUGUCCUGCCAAAUAUUGCUGAGAAGUUGAUGCCAGGAAGGUGGGUGGAGUGGCCACUGGGAGGUAGUGGCUGAUUCGAACUGAGAGGGGUUGGUAGAUGGUGGAAAGGAUCAGGCCACAGGCAGCUGACGAUAACAUGGGAGGUGAGGAUCCUCAGAUAUAAACAAAGCAACAGGAAGAGCAGUGAUUUCUGCAAUCAGCUGCCACUGUCCGUGUCGGGCUGCACCAUGUGCAUGGCAUUUUCAAACUCUUUUCAUCUUUUUUAUGAGCUGGUAAAGAUUAUUAAGCCACUUUACAGGCGAGGAAACCAAGGCACAGAGAAAGAAAGGAACUUGCCAAGAUGAGCAUCUGCAAACAAAGUCAGGAACUGAAUCAACUGUGUCUAGACUAUUACUUCUAGAAAUAUGACUCAAAGAGAAACCAAGGAAGUGUAGGGGAAGGGCUACAUUCAAGGAACCCUGUGGAUGGUAAUAUAAUUUCCUAAGCAUGUGAUAUAUAUGCAGGUGACCCUCUGCUUACAGUGGGAAUUACAGCCUGUCAUGGGUGGACAUGAUCAGAGACAGACAAAAAUGUUCCUGUCCUGCUGACUGUCACAGCUUAAUAUGCAGACACUGCAGAACAUCAGCUGUCUGCCCUCGUCAGCGUGUGGCUGCCUGGUUGCUGCACUCACAGCCGCUGGCCUGCAUCAAGGAAGAAAAGCACCCUGCAAACUGCUAGGUGGGUAAAAUCAAAAUUCUCUACAGAAGUGUGGCUGCUACUGAAUAUGAAUCACUUUUGCACCACCGUUAGGUUAAAAGUCAGAAGUUGAACCAUUGUAGCUUAGAGUCUGUCGCUAAAGCAGCAGAGAGAUGCGUUGACGGGUGGAGCUCAGGUGAUAGAGAGUCAGAAUCCAGGAUCUGGGGGAAUGGCCAGGCCCAGAAGAGAGGGGAUAGGGGGUGGUGACUACACUGUGCAAAUGGGUCCCACAAGUGGCUUGUCUGUUAGGUCCUCAGCAAACCAUGAAAUGGGUGUAGACAAAACAGCCAGGUGCAUGUUGUGUGACACUACAUCUGGGAUAUAUGAACAAGUGUCUACUGGAAAGGGCACAACAACAGACCUAAGUAAUUACACCAUCGAAGUCCAACUUGGUGAAUUCGCGAGUUCACUAGGGUUCCUCACCAAAGUAUGGGUUGUUCACAGAAGCAUGGAUAAUACAAAGGCAGCUGCAUCAGCCAAUCCACCCUAGCCUGGGUAACACAUCAUGAGAGCCACAACCCUCUGCACAACCUACAGGCAGCUCAACAGACAGCAGAAUCUCCUCUCCU